CGAGUAGAAUAAAUGAUCGCGAGAGUAAUCUCGAGGAAAGUCCGGGCUUCAUAGGGCAGGAUGCCGGAUAACGUCCGGUGGAGGCGACUCCCAGGCUAGUGCAACAGAAAUAUACCGCUUCUAAUUUUAGGAGUAAGGGUGGAAAGGCAGUGUAAGAGACUACCGUCUAUUUGGUAACAAAUAGGGCUCUGUAAACCCCAUCCGAAGCAAGACCAAUAGAAAGCAUAAGGCGGCCCGUCUGCUUUCGGGUAGGUCGCUUGAUUUUACUGGUAACAGUAAAACUAGAUAGAUGAUCAUUCACGACAGAACCCGGCUUAUCGUUCUACUCGUUUU
rnacentral:RNase_P_RNA from 2 species